CGCCCAGCUGACGCGGGACUGGAGGCUCACAGUCAGGACCCGAGCUCUCGGGGACUAAAUCAUCCUAGUUUAAACGCACCCUCUGCCAGGGCUCCAGUUGGGAGCUCCUUGCCAUUGCUCUAAACACAUCCUAGGGGGUCCUGCCCCCCGCUCAGCACGCCUGUAACCCUAAGGUAGCCGAGCGGUGGGGGUUCGAGGCUCCCUCCCUCCUUUUGCCCUUCACGAGAGCGCUUUUCUGGGAGCACAAGUGUGUGUGUGAGGAGCGCAGAGGAGCACCGAGAGGGAGAUUGGGACAAUAGCUGGAGCGGAUUAUGCAUUCCCGUAGGCAAUACUUCCCUAUAUGAGCUUCAGGAUGCAGUUGGAAGCUCGGGAACAAAGCGGGCAUCGAAUGUCAAGAAGAAAUAGUUCUGCUGAGCCCCCAGGUCUGGACUUUGGGGAACAUGGCGCAGUGGUCUGAUAUAAAAGCACUGUCUCUGUGGGUAGAAACUCUCCUGUGUACCAUGAGCCUUGCAAGAAAGGCAGCUAGGGGACAUUUCGAGUAACCAUGCAUCUGGCAUCAAGCGACAACAAUCCACUUCACACUACUGCAGAGGAGUUUGUUCCCAAACCAAAUGCUUUAUGGUGCUCAGUGCUGGUGUCAAAUUGGUUUGAACUGUCCCAAGUCUAAAAUAAAGAUCUCCAUUGUGGUAUACCAGUGAGCUUUUCUUGUUAAACCUUCCCUGCUUGUCUUGAAGGUAUAGGGCCGAUGUAAUACCGUCUUUUCCCCCCACGGAUGGGCGCAAUAGGAAAAGUUCAGAAAAGUUCUGUUUAUCUUUUUUCCCCUUGUAGUUGAAGAAAUGCAAGCUAUCAGAAACAAGCCUAAGUUUGAAGGUACAGUUUUCAACAUGUGAGUUGGAAACAUAUGCACUGGCACUAUUCAACUGAUCUGUAAGGGCUGUGCUUGAAUUUUGGCUUUUAAUCUCAACUCUGCUAAAGACAGAUGCAAAAUGGAAUGGAAUCUGAUUAUUUAUGCUGUAGCCUUGUGAUACACAUCUUAUAACCGUUGGAGAGAGAAGCAAAACACUUUGCUAAAGCUUUGGGUGAGCCUGAGUUUCAAGAGGACUCUAGUCUUCACAGGUUCUUACUUCACUGUCUUUCUUCCCUUAGAAUUUGUUAUAUGGGAUUUUUUUUCUGCUGUUCUACAUUUUAAAGUGAGUAGAGACUAAAUCCUGCUGAGAGAGUGAGCUCUCUCCACCACAAACUCACGUUUGGAAAAUGCCUUCCCCUUUUGACUGCUCCCCUUCAAAUUAUCC